UACAGAGGUCCCAAGCGUUGUUCGGAUUCAUUGGGCGUAAAGGGUGCGUAGGUGGCGCCAUAAGUCAGGUGUGAAAUUUCGGAGCUUAACUCCGAAACUGCAUUUGAUACUGUGGUGCUUGAGGACUGGAGAGGAGACUGGAAUUUACGGUGUAGCAGUGAAAUGCGUAGAGAUCGUAAGGAAGACCAGUGGCGAAGGCGGGUCUCUGGACAGUUCCUGACACUGAGGCACGAAGGCCAGGGGAGCAAACGGGG
rnacentral:rRNA from 1 species